GCUUCCACCUUGAUGAUAAUGGACUGAACAUCUGAACCUAGCUUUCUACAUUGUAUAGAGGUGUUCCUCUCUGCCUGUGUGCGUUCCGUGAGUGCUCAGGGAAAAUCUGGGCACCACAUAAGUCGGAGGAUAUGCUACCAAGAUCAAGAAGAACUGAAAGGCCUGAAAACUGAGGUGCCCACAGGAUGGAAGGGCUCGCCUGUGCAAGUGAUGGCACAAUCUUUGAGCAGCAUCCAAGAUUUGUUCUCUUCCUUUGGUUCAGAGAAGAGCCAAGUCUUCUGCAGUUUGAUGUGGAGACAGGAGCUUUCCUGCGGCCAAGCCAACCUUCCUCCCCUGCCGGUCCCCACUAAGGAACCGGUGUAAAGAAUCCCUUUGCCAAGUGCAUUCACUGGCAGAGUUCUGAAAGCUGUGGUCUCAAUGCCACAGAGUGUUAAUAACUUUAUACUUAUUAAUUAAUCUCAGAGGCAAGAGUUGUCCUGCCCACUGAAGACGGCACCAAAGGAAUGAAGAUUGUUCAGGGGUCUUGCAUAGAUCAAUGACCAAGCAAGUGACAGAAGAUGUUGGGCUCAAAACACCAGAACACAUUCAGUCAUCAGCCUGUCUCUGUGCUCUCUCUUCCCAUCCAGCCAAUGAGGAAACAGAACAGAAUAUGGCUUGCUGGGCCAUCCAGCUCUUCACAGAUCAAUCCCAAUCCUACUACAAAUGGUGUCCUUACCAAAACCAGCCAGAAGAGCACAUGUGACCAGGAAGCCCCAGUGACUGGACAUGCUCAGGGUCCAGCUGCUAUGACAGUGAGAGCGUUCUGCUGAAGGCCCUGCUGGAGUUGACGUGAAACGAGCCGUGCAGCUUGUUGGAGCUCACACCAGAUUUCCUCCUUUCCCUGUCCUGUUGUGUGUACACCAUUAACCUGGGUGAGCUUAUUCCAGUCAGAGGACCUGGAACUGGAGAGGACGAGGAAGUAUUUUAUCACACCAUAUGGCUAUGCUGCUGAGACUUUGUUCUUAGGAGCCAAAGGAUACCCUGUCCUUACUUCCAACCAGGCAGGAAAGCCAUCCCUAGCCCUUCCAAGGGGUGAGAGCCCAGCAGAGCCUAGAGGAGGAGAGGGUAGGUCCUCUUCAGUGAAUGUUGCCAGUUAAUGUCGGUGCUCAAGAAUCUGGCCAAGUUCAAGUCCAGCAUGAGAGAGCCCCAGAGCAGCCAGGGGUCCUCGGGCAGACCCUCUAGAAAUUAAAGAACGCUCUGAACCUGUUCUUCAACAAGGUGGCCAAGCCCAGUCAGGAGCUUCAUGGUUUGAGGACGUUUAUCAUUUAUUAGUUUCAGGCAUAAGUAGUAGCUCACAGUGGUGUGAACUUGCCUAGUGCCAGCAGCACCCUGAGCCACACUGACCUCUUACGAGCCACAGGCCUUGGCCAAAUUGUAGUCAUCUCUGCUUUUCAUAGCCCUUGGAUGUAAAAUAAGAACACUGCCCAUUUACCCACAGGAGAUUAUAUACAUACAUAUAUAAUUUUAUUUUGUGUCUGUGGUGGUCAGCUAUAUAUGACAGGAAAGCUAUCUGUGGGAAUUUUGAAGGGAUUGCAAUGAAACAUGCACUUAUUGUUUUUUUUAAUGCCCUACAUCUUGUUAAUGCUUGGUAAAGAGUUCUCCCUCUCCCUCCCCCGUUUCUCCCCCUGUCGCUCCCCUCCCUCCUCCCUCUCCCUCCAAGCAGAAAGAAUAACAACUAACUGCUUGCCAGGCCUUGAGAACAUCAACAAGCAACAUACUUGAUUUGUUCUGUUUAGUGAGUCAGAAGACGGAUCAAAUGAGAGACCCCAACAUCUCCGGAGUAACCUGCUCUCAGGAGCUGACUCUUCUGCCGAGGUCAGAGAUGAUCAGACACAUCUGAAUUGCAAUUAGAGAUAAACAGAGCGCUGGGGCUUCUCAAGUCACCAGAGAAUAUGGCCGGGCGACUGGCAGCUACAAGGAUCCCAUUUAUGCGUUACGAUGCAGUUCUAUUCUUCAAUAGCUCACUCCAAACAAGGAAAUUAAAUUAAGCACUGUUUAAAAUGCCUCAGAUAAUAAUAUAAAUUUGUACUGAAUGAA